rnacentral:tRNA from 1 species
AUUUAAGUAAUUUAAAAUAAAAUAUUGAUUUGUGGUAUCAAAAAUAUAAGAUAUUAUCUUAAAUU